rnacentral:rRNA from 1 species
GACGAACGCUGGCGGCGUGCCUAAUACAUGCAAGUCGAGCGGAGCGGCGAACGGGUGAGUAACGCGUGAGUAACUGCCCCCCUCUCUGGGAUAACAGUUGGAAACGGCUGCUAAUACCGGAUAGUGGGGGAUGAAUCGCGUCCUAUCAGCUUGUUGGUGGGGUAGUGGCCUACCACGGCGACGACUGGUAGCCGGCCUGAGAGGGCGACUGGCCACAUGGGGCUGAGGUACAGCCUAAACUCCUACGGGGGGCAGCAGGGGGGAAUAUGGCACAAUGGGGGCAACCCUGAUGCAGCAACGCCGCGUGCGGGAUGACGGUCUUCGGGUUGUAAACCGCUUUAAGCCAUGACGCGGGAUUGGCAGAAGAAGCACAGGCUAACUACGUGCCAGCAGCCGCGGUAAUUC